GUGGAUUUGAGACAGCUGUAAGACAAGCAGGCGCUUUUUCUUGCCUGAAGCACAACUUGGAUGCCAAAUAAUCAAAUCUGGUAGACACAGCUGAGUGUUAAAUGCCAGGUCUGUUAUUUUCUACGAUGCAAAGGCUGCCUGAAAGGAUGUGCUUUCCAGCGAAGAAGGGGAAGAGAACACAGACGGAAAACCUCAAAAAGGAUGGAAAUGGUCUUACUAGCUGUGUUUCAGGGAAACAGUAUCUGGGUGAGAUCUGGUACUGGGUGAGUCCUCUGCUGAGCCUGUGACGUGCACAAACUGCUGGGUAGUUCUGCUCAUGUGGC